CAGAUCAGGAUGCAGCCAAUCUUUCUAAUAACUCCAGGAAAGAUCAUUGGACUCCUGAUGAUUCGGAGAAAUUUGAGUUUGAGAAUCAACUCAGAAAGCCGCAAAGUGCACAUGAGGUUGUGUCAAGUUUUGAUAGAGAAACUUCCUCUGAUUCACUGUCCACUGAACAUAAAGAACAAGUUUCUUUGAGGCGCCGUUUGUCCUCCCCAUGGCGAUUGAAGGAGUCACAUCCAACUGAUGGGCCAAUAAUUUCUGGGACUUCUAUUAUUAAUGCAGGUCAGAAAGAGGGCUAUUCUGCCACUUUUGGGGGGUUGCCUAUGAAUUCGUAUUCCUCUUUGCCCAAAGUGGCCAUUCGACAGCAUACUGGAACCUCAGGCUCUGGGUUAUCAGCCAACACAUCACUGGGGUCGGGGCAACAAGGGUUUCAGUCUAUAGGAGCAGCAUCACCAUCUAGACAGCUGCCCAUGCGUCGACAUCCACCCUCACUCUCUUUUCCAGCACGUUCACGCCAACAAUUGCAAAGCUCUGUGGAGCAAGACCUUUCUCGUCCUGAUUAUAAGGCACAGCAAUUGUCAGGGAAUUUGCUACAUUCGAAUGUUCAGCUUGGUAACUUGCAAAAACU
rnacentral:misc_RNA from 1 species